UACGAAGGGGGCUAGCGUUGCUCGGAAUCACUGGGCGUAAAGCGCACGUAGGCGGCUUUCUAAGUCAGGGGUGAAAUCCUGGAGCUCAACUCCAGAACUGCCUUUGAUACUGGAGAGCUUGAGUCCGGAAGAGGUGAGUGGAACUCCGAGUGUAGAGGUGAAAUUCGUAGAUAUUCGGAAGAACACCGGUGGCGAAGGCGGCGAGCUGGUCCAUUACUGACGCUGAGGCGCGACAGCGUGGGGAGCAAACAGG
rnacentral:rRNA from 1 species